CCUACGGGUGGCUGCAGUGGGGAAUAUUGGACAAUGGGCGAAAGCCUGAUCCAGCCAUGCCGCGUGUGUGAAGAAGGCCUUCGGGUUGUAAAGCACUUUCAGUGGGGAAGAAAGCCUUGGGGCUAAUACCCUCGAGGAAGGACAUCACCCACAGAAGAAGCACCGGCUAACUCCGUGCCAGCAGCCGCGGUAAUACGGAGGGUGCGAGCGUUAAUCGGAAUGACUGGGCGUAAAGCGCGCGUAGGCGGUCUGAUAAGCCGGUUGUGAAAGCCCCGGGCUCAACCUGGGAACGGCAUCCGGAACUGUCAGGCUAGAGUGCAGGAGAGGAAGGUAGAAUUCCCGGUGUAGCGGUGAAAUGCGUAGAGAUCGGGAGGAAUACCAGUGGCGAAGGCGGCCUUCUGGACUGACACUGACGCUGAGGUGCGAAAGCGUGGGUAGCAAACAGGAUUAGAUACCCUGGUAGUC
rnacentral:rRNA from 1 species